rnacentral:lncRNA from 1 species
UGCUGUAACUCUUGAUCUCAGAAAUGCUGGUAUAUGUUACACGCACAGUUGGCCGUCUUGUGCUUCAUCUGACAUCCUGCUCAAACUGCUGGGAUAUUGUCAGGAUUCUUAUUUGUUUAUUUUGUCUCCCACACUUUUCAACAAGAGAGGCUUUACUUUAAACAAUCUUAAUUGUUUUCCUUUCCUCAGCAUGAUAGUUAUAUAAUUAUUAUUCUCCUGAUACGGUUUCAUCAUCUAAGCAUAAUGAGCAUUUGCAAAAUACUUUGAUGUUCAAAAAGGAUGGCAACACAUUCAGUGUUGUUAUUGUUUCUACGAUGGAUAGACUAUGGUUCUGUAGACCAUUAUGAACCAUGAAAUCUGGAAAAGAACAGAUUGUUUAAAUCCAGAAAGUAUUAAAGACAUAUUUAAGAAGCAUCUUCAAGAAGCAUAUUCUCUUUCUAGCCCUGUUCAGACAUCAAGCGGGUGCAGUGAAUGUAUGGAGGGAGCUUGAAGGAGAGCAGGGCAUCAAGCGGUCCCUCAACAUGUGCAUAUUAAUAGCCAGGUCUACAUGGAGUUUACAUGCAUGCAGCUAUUAUUUCUAUCUCUUAUAUGAUACCGAUAAGCAAGUUGACAGCAGGCUACAUCACGGAACCUCGAGGAAAAGGUUCCAGAAGCUUCUGAGAAGUGUUCUAAGAAGUGUCCGUUGGCUCAGAAUCGCAAGGGCAUAUUUGUAGGAAAGAAGGCUUUCUAUAUCUUUCCAUUAGAUGUUGAGAAUCAACAGCUUUAAUUAUCCUUGUGUCCGUUGGCCUAUUCCUGUGGAGCUCCUGAACUGAACCCAGCCAAUUCCAAAAACAUCUGCUUCACAGGAAACACAGGUGGUUUCGUUAUCUCUACUCCUAGAGAGGCCAUAAUAGCAUUCUAGCACGUGUGCAACACAUCAUGUUUGGUCCAAAUUCUGUCGUCCUCAAUGGUUCUUCUGACAGAAAUGCCAGGCUAUGGAACGCGGAAGCAAAUCUGGCAGGGAGCUUUGGACACGCAAACCGAUGGAACUUGAAAAAGCCAUCCAAAAGUCCAUGGAGUCACGUCCGAGGUGAAACCAAAGAGAAUAAAAAGAAGAAGGGAUCAACCAAGCAACCAGUAUUAUUCAGUCUAGAUGAACCUCUCAGAAAUACUGACCAAGAGACUGCAGAGCCACCAAAGCAUGAGAGCGGCAGCGACAGCGCAAAGAGCAACAAAAUUGAGCCUAAGGAGGACAAGCAGCCACAGGAGCCUCAGCUACCCAGAAUUGAUCAGCCUCAACAAUCGUCUUCCUGUUCAACCCUUCCAGAAGACACAACACAAAGCCGGGUGGCAACACCACCCCUAAUACAAAGGAAGCACGAGAGCCUUUUCAAGCACAAUCUGGAAGAAGGACUCCUGAAAAGAAUAGCAAGGCGGAAAAUUCGUCGGCAGGUAUUUGGAGAAAUUAAUACCGAAAAAGUCAACCAGUUUGGGACAGCCUGUUCAGCUUUUCAUGCUCUGGCAACUACGGAGAUGGAGACUUUAACCUUGCCCAGCAACUUACCCAUGACUUCACGGAUGGUUAGCAAAGGGCUUGUUUGCACCACGGAGUCUGACUUGAAGUCUAUGCAGCUGACCUUCCCGGAGUUAGAGGAAGAGACUGUAGAAGAACCCCAAGCCAAAGACAGGAAGAAGCCACUCACCCGAACCAGAAAGCCGAUGCUGCCUCCUUUGAUUAAACCAUCCAGAUCCCGGUUCUCUGAAAAUAAGAAGACUUCGGGCUGCUGUCUUCCUUCAGUCCCCACGGUCCCUGCCUCUGCAUCACUCAAGUGGGGAAAGUACUAGUAUCUUUUAAAGCAAGCCUGCAUGGUUGCCAUCAAAGGAUUUGGAAGGGUCUGUUCUGGAGAACUUGGAUAUGACGCACAAGCUUUCAUUCACUCUGAAGCCAGGCGCUUCUUGGAUUUCUCCCAGGAAGAACAUUGACAUACAUGGUAUCAAAACGGCAAAACACAGAGAAAAAGAAUACUCAGUAUACACAGUAUACCUUUUAGUCUAUUCAUUGUCAUAUAAAGAAGUGAUACAAAACAAAAGAGAGAUUAUUUUUUAAAAAAUGAAUGUACCUGCUGGCUGACAUGUUUCAUUUUUUACAUUAUUGACUUGGGAAAUAUUAAAAGUAAUUUAAGCAUCACUUGUGAAAACAGCCUGAGAUUUAAUGCAUGUAUAUGUACAGUAUGAGAUGUCAGCUCUAAAAAAAUGUGUCCCAAGGGUUCUGGGAGAUACAGUUAUAUGGAAAGAGCAAGAGCUUUUCCAGCACAGAAUUUUCUCCCCUUUAGCAAAGCUUUUCAUUUGGUGAAUGUGAGUUUUUUCCCACAGACCAUCCGUUAUAGUGAAUACUGGCCUAGGAAUAGCUUAAAGGUAUGCUGGCUGGAUAGCUCAGUGAGUUAGGUAUCUGGCUGAGAAGCUAGAGGUUGGGAGAUCAAAUCCCCACUGUGCUUUCGCAGAAGAAUGGGCCUAGGUGGCCUUGGGCAAACCGCACAGUCCCAGGAGGCCUUCAGAAUAAGGGAAUGGUAAACCACCUCUUACUUUAUACCUAGAAAACUCUGAAGAGUCUCCAUGUCAGAACUGACUGGAUGGUACAUGAUUAUUAUUACACUGGCAUUACGCUCAAUGGACUAUAUCCAUCUGUCCUUGCAGUGCAUAUGAAAGUGGACAUCUCCUGCUUGGAACCAAUACACCGCAGGUACAGUGGUCCUACUGUAUAGGUUGAAGAAGAAAUAUUCUGUUUAUGCAAUACUGUUGUAGUUACCUGCUUUCAAGUUUAUUCCAGCUUAUGGUGACCCCAUGAAUGCCAUGAACAACCUCCCAAAAGUUAUAUUAUCAACAGCUCUGCUCAGCUCUCGCAGGCUCAACCGUUGGCUUCCUUUGUCAAGUCAAAUCAUAUUACAUUUGGUCUUCCGCUUAGCCUGCUGUCUUCAACUUCUCCUAGCAUUAUUGUCUUUUCCAGUGAGUCUUUUUUGUCAAUGCACAACAGCCUCGAUUUCAUCAUUUCUGCUCCCAGAGAAAGUUCAGGCUUGAUUUGAUCUAGGAGCCUCUUGUUUGUCUUUCUGCAAGUUUAUAUGGUAUCUGCUAAACUCCCCUCCAGUAAAUGCAAUACUACUUUGCUUAAUUGUGCCUUCAAAGGACACAAAUUCUGGCCAUCUCAAUAAAAUGGAAGAAAACACCCUGCA